AGCGCCUGUGGCGGGUCCGGCACGAAUCUUUACAGGCUUCGCAGGCAGCCGGUUCGUGUACGAUCUUGUACAUCCAAGAAUUUUCUUGGAUUUAAUGAUUUCU
rnacentral:sRNA from 1 species